UUAUGANUAAAUGAUUUUUACCGUAGGAAUAAAAGAUGGAAUUAAAAUAGGUUGGCGGCGUGCUAACUAAAUAGAGGAAUCUGAACAAGAGUCGACAGCCCACGAAUAGCUUAUCUAAUUUUUUGUUUGUAUAUCUCCGUUGAAAGAAGAUUUUAUAAAAAUAUUUUCUUUAUUUUGUGAUGAAAUCUUAUGACAGGUCAAGGUGCAGCGUAUAGUUAGGAUAGUUUGGAUUACAAUUUUUAAAAAAAUUACGAACUUUAAUUUGGAAUUAUUUUAAGAAGGUGGAUUUAUUAGUAAUAAGAUCUUAAAAAGGGGUUUUAUGAAUAAGGAAUA
rnacentral:rRNA from 1 species